UACAGAGGGGGCAAGCGUUGUUCGGAAUUACUGGGCGUAAAGCGCGUGUAGGCGGCUUGGCAAGUCGGGUGUGAAAGCCCUGGGCUCAACCUAGGAAGUGCACUCGAAACUGCUUCGCUGGAAUGCCGGAGAGGAAAGCGGAAUUCUCGGUGUAGAGGUGAAAUUCGUAGAUAUCGAGAGGAACACCGGUGGCGAAGGCGGCUUUCUGGACGGUACUGACGCUGAGACGCGAAAGCGUGGGGAGCGAACAGG
rnacentral:rRNA from 1 species